rnacentral:rRNA from 1 species
GAUGAACGCUGGCGGCGUGCCUAAUACAUGCAAGUCGAGCGAACGGACGAGAAGCUUGCUUCUCUGAUGUUAGCGGCGGACGGGUGAGUAACACGUGGAUAACCUACCUAUAAGACUGGGAUAACUUCGGGAAACCGUAGCUAAUACCGGAUAAUAUUUUGAACCGCAUGGUUCAAAAGUGAAAGACGGUCUUGCUGUCACUUAUAGAUGGAUCCGCGCUGCAUUAGCUAGUUGGUAAGGUAACGGCUUACCAAGGCAACGAUGCAUAGCCGACCUGAGAGGGUGAUCGGCCACACUGGAACUGAGACACGGUCCAAACUCCUACGGGAGGAAGCAGUAGGGAAUCUUCCGCAAUGAGCGAAAGCCUGACGGAGAAACGCCGCGUGAGUGAUGAAGGUCUUCGGAUCGUAAAACUCUGUUAUUAGGGAAGAACAUAUGUGUAAGUAACUGUGCACAUCUUGACGGUACCUAAUCAGAAAGCCACGGCUAACUACGUG